rnacentral:rRNA from 1 species
CCUACGGGGGGCAGCAGUGGGGAAUAUUGGACAAUGGGGGCAACCCUGAUCCAGCCAUGCCGCGUGUGUGAAGAAGGCCCUCGGGUUGUAAAGCACUUUCAGUGAGGAAGAACGCCUGGUGGUUAAUACCCAUCAGGAAAGACAUCACUCACAGAAGAAGCACCGGCUAACUCCGUGCCAGCAGCCGCGGUAAUACGGAGGGUGCGAGCGUUAAUCGGAAUUACUGGGCGUAAAGCGCGCGUAGGUGGCUUGAUAAGCCGGUUAUGAAAGCCCCGGGCUCAACCUGGGAACGGCAUCCGGAACUGUCAAGCUAGAGUGCAGGAGAGGAAGGUAGAAUUCCCGGUGUAGCGGUGAAAUGCGUAGAGAUCGGGAGGAAUACCAGUGGCGAAGGCGGCCUUCUGGACUGACACUGACACUGAGGUGCGAAAGCGUGGGUAGCAAACAGGAUUAGAUACCCCUGUAGUC